GACGGAGGAUGCAAGCGUUAUCCGGAAUGAUUGGGCGUAAAGCGCACGUAGGCGGCUUGGUAUGUCGGGUGUGAAAUCCCCGGGCUCAACCUGGGAACUGCAUCCGAAACUGCCUUGCUAGAGUAUGGGAGAGGGAAGUGGAAUUUCCGGUGUAGCGGUGAAAUGCGUAGAUAUCGGAAGGAACAUCAGUGGCGAAAGCGACUUCCUGGACCAAUACUGACGCUCAUGUGCGAAAGCGUGGGGAGCAAACAGG
rnacentral:rRNA from 1 species